rnacentral:misc_RNA from 1 species
GAAAUGCGAUAAGUAAUGUGAAUUGCAGAAUUCAGUGAAUCAUCGAAUCUUUGAACGCACAUUGCGCCCGCUAGUAUUCUGGCGGACAUGCCUGUUCGAGCGUCUUUAAAACCCUCGGGCCCGGCAGAUCUAGGUCUGCCGGGGCCGGUGUUGGGACCCCGCGGCUGCCGCGGGCCCCUAAAUGCAGUGGCGGACCCUCCUGUGGCCCUGGCGUAGUAAAAUGCCUCGCCUUCGGUUGCAAGACGGAGCUUGCCCAGAGAACCAUCUCUUUAAAUCUGGACCUCGAAUCAGGUAGGAAUACCCGCUGAACUUAA